GAUGAACGCUGGCGGCGUGCUUAACGCAUGCAAGUCGAACGAAGCACUUUAUUUGAUUUCCUUCGGGACUGAUUAUUUUGUGACUGAGUGGCGGACGGGUGAGUAACGCGUGGGUAACCUGCCUUGUACAGGGGGAUAACAGUUGGAAACGGCUGCUAAUACCGCAUAAGCGCACGGCAUCGCAUGAUGCAGUGUGAAAAACUCCGGUGGUAUAAGAUGGACCCGCGUUGGAUUAGCUAGUUGGUGAGGUAACGGCCCACCAAGGCGACGAUCCAUAGCCGACCUGAGAGGGUGACCGGCCACAUUGGGACUGAGACACGGCCCAAACUCCUACGGGAGGCAGCAGUGGGGAAUAUUGCACAAUGGGCGAAAGCCUGAUGCAGCGACGCCGCGUGAGCGAAGAAGUAUUUCGGUAUGUAAAGCUCUAUCAGCAGGGAAGAUAAUGACGGUAC
rnacentral:rRNA from 1 species